UCCCGGGUAGCUCAGGUGGUAGAGCAGGUGACUGUUAAUCACCCUGUCGGGGGUUCGAGUCCCUCCCCGGGAG
rfam:Gemmatimonas aurantiaca T-27 DNA, complete genome.